rnacentral:lncRNA from 1 species
ACUUAGUUUUACGGCAGCGGCUAUCAUUUCUGAGACUUAAAGGCACGACUCCCUGGAGACAAUCCGGGAUAAUGUGACUUCUCAACUCACGCAUAUGAAAUACAGUCAGUGUGGGAGUGAGUCCUGGAGCCAUGACAGCAAGAGGCCAGCCUCUAAGAGAUGAUCCGUACCUUGCUUUUCGGUCUUUAAUAACUUGAGAUAUUGCUGCCAGCUACUUAACCAAGCUCUGCAACUGCUGUAAUGAGAAAGUGAUGACCUUUGGACUUACAAAGUCCUGCACUCAAGUCCCCCAUGUCCAAAUUUGCCACUUCCUGGAUGUGUGGCCCAGGUCAGCCUACUUAAUCUUGCUGAUAUUCCAGUUUUUCAUCAGGAACAAGGCUGAUCAUAAUACUACCUUGAAGGAUUGCUGUGAGGACUAGCUAGAGGGAUUGUGUGAGAGUCCCUUGCCCAAUGUCUGGAACACAGUAGGUAUUGAACAAAUAUUCUUUCCUUUUGCCCUUUCCCUCCUUUCUCACACAGCAGGACAGUGGAGACAGGCACAGCCUGGCAGCUCAGCUCCUCUCACAAAUCGUUCUCUCUGUUCUCACGAGAUUAGCAUUUCUAAUAGGAUCAGGAAUUCUUUCUAAUUCAUUGAUUAUUAAUCCUGAUGUUUGCAAAUAAUCUCUCCUGAUUUGCGCAGAACCAAGAACUUAAUGCUCUUUCAGGGUUUAAAUUUAUUUAUUAUUAUUUUGUUGUUAUUCAGUGGAAAGGUCCAAUUUUAUUCCACCAGAAAUUGUCUGGAUGGCUCUCCUGCUAGAUAAUUAAAGCUAAUGGAGCCCAGGAGCUAUGCAAAGUAGACACUAAAAGAGGAUUGUUUAAAACAAGAUGGGAACCGUCUGCUAAUAGUGCCUUGCAGCCAGAGAUGUCAGGACAUCUCAGUAGAAUUGUGGUAACAAAUAAGCAAGAAGCAAGGUACCUAAGAGAGCUAAGAGUGGUGGGGAGAAGAAGAAAAACAGAGCAAGCAGGCAGACAGGGUAAAUAGGGAGAGACCCCUCAAUACAGAGACGGUCUAGAGGUGAAAAAACUGGGGAAAGCUGUUUCUGAAAUCUUCAUAGGGGACUUCGAAGGGAAAAAUUUCCCAACAUCCAGGCCUUUUAUAAUUUUGAGUAACAGCUGCCUUCACAGUAAAUGUGUUUCUGUCAUGAUACGUGUACAAGUACAUCCCUUAUUCCAGGCCUGUCCUCACAGUGUGGCCUGCCGAACUGUGCAGUUUACAUCUAACCGACAUAGAAAGCUUCUGCCUUUCAGCAAAUCAAACGAGCAUUCGAGUUAAAUGGCCACACUUUCAUUAUUGUUCUUAUUAUUCACAGUCUGCAUUACUACCACAACAGUGGCACCGUUAAGCAAUCCGUCAUUUGGGCCAAACGUGAGUUUGAGGAAUUCCACAGAGAUCUUUUCAUAUUUGACCCAAUAGAGUCUUCCAAGGAGUCUUCUGAACCACUGGGGUCAGGAAGGAGACAUGAAUUUUAAGGGUUUUACUACCAAAUGUCCUUUGCUUUAUUAUUAUCAUUAUUAUUAUUAUUAUUUUUAAACAGGGUCUUGCUCUAUCUCCCAGGCUGGAGUACAGUGGCUGGAGCGUGGCCCACUGCAGCCUUGACCUCCCAGGCUCAUGUGAUCCUCCCACCUCUUGGCCUCCCGAGUAGCUGGGACUACAGGCACACACCACCACACACAGCUAAUUAUUGUUUUUUUUUUUUUUUUAGAGAUGAGGUUUUGCCAUGUUGCCCAGGCUGGUCUCAAACUCCUGAGUUCAAGCAAUCCUCCCACCUUGGCCUCCCAGAGUGCUGGGGUUACGGGUAUGAGCCACUGCACGUGUCCCUUUGCUAUGUUUAGAAAUUUUUAAAAUAAAAAACAGUUAUCCAUGUUUAUGGUAGAAAAUUUUGAAAGUAAGAACCAUCUAAAUAAAUAUCACCCAUUACCUCAUUAACCAAGGAUAAUGCUAUAAACAUUACUGUUUUCUUUUUCUUUAUUUAUUUCUUCUUCUUCUUCUUUUUUUUUUGA